rnacentral:rRNA from 1 species
AUUGAACGCUGGCGGCAUGCCUUACACAUGCAAGUCGAACGGCAGCGGGGGAGAAGCUUGCUUUUCCUGCCGGCGAGUGGCGAACGGGUGAGUAAUACAUCGGAACGUGCCCUGUAGUGGGGGAUAACUAGUCGAAAGAUUAGCUAAUACCGCAUACGACCUGAGGGUGAAAGUGGGGGACCGCAAGGCCUCAUGCUAUAGGAGCGGCCGAUGUCUGAUUAGCUAGUUGGUGGGGUAAAGGCCUACCAAGGCGACGAUCAGUAGCUGGUCUGGGAGGACGAUCAGCCACACUGGGACUGAGACACGGCCCAGACUCCUACGGGAGGCAGCAGUGGGGAAUUUUGGGCAAUGGGCGAAAGCCUGAUCCAGCAAUGCCGCGUGUGUGAAGAAGGCCUUCGGGUUGUAAAGCACUUUUGUCCGGAAAGAAAUGGCUCUGGUUAAUACCUGGGGUCGAUGACGGUACCGGAAGAAUAAGGACCGGCUAACUACGUGCCAGCCGCCGCCGUAACAC